rnacentral:rRNA from 1 species
UACCAGCACCCCGAGUGGUCGGGACGAUUAUUGGGCCUAAAGCAUCCGUAGCCGGUUUUACAAGUCCCCCGUUAAAUCCAGCUGCUUAACAGAUGGGCUGCGGAAGAUACUAUAGAGCUAGGAGGCGGGAGAGGCAAGCGGUACUCGAUGGGUAGGGGUAAAAUCCGUUGAUCCAUUGAAGACCACCAGUGGCGAAGGCGGCUUGCCAGAACGCGCUCGACGGUGAGGGAUGAAAGCUGGGGGAGCAAACCGG